UUGGAGGGCAAGUCUGGUGCCAGCAGCCGCGGUAAUUCCAGCUCCAAUAGCGUAUAUUAAAGUUGUUGCAGUUAAAAAGCUCGUAGUUGAAUUUCGGGGUUAGUAGGUUGGUCGUGCCUAUGGUAUGCACUGGCUUUACUGAUUCCUCCUUCUUGAAGAACUGUAAUGUCAUUAAUUUGGUGUUGCAGGGAAACAGGACUGUUACUUUGAAAAAAUUAGAGUGUUUAAAGCAGGCUAACGCUUGAAUACAUUAGCAUGGAAUAAUGAAAUAGGACGUUUGAUCCUAUUUUGUUGGUUUCUAGGAUUGACGUAAUGAUUAAUAGGGAUAGUUGGGGGCAUUAGUAUUCAAUUGUCAGAGGUGAAAUUCUUGGAUUUAUUGAAGGCUAACUACUGCGAAAGCAUUUGCCAAGGAUGUUUUCAUUAAUCAAGAACGAAAGUUAGGGGAUCGAAGACGAUCAGAUACCGUCGUAGUCUUAACCAUAAACUAUGCCGACUAGGGAUCGGAUGAUGUUAAUUUUUUAAUGACUCAUUCGGCGCCUUACGGGAAA
rnacentral:rRNA from 1 species